rnacentral:tRNA from 1 species
GGCUGGUUAGCUCAGUUGGUUGGAGCGUGGUGCUGAUAACACCAAGGUCACGGGUUUGAUUCCCGUUUGGCCU